rnacentral:rRNA from 1 species
GAUGAACGCUAGCUACAGGCUUAACACAUGCAAGUCGAGGGGCAGCAUGAUUGAAUCUUGCUUCAAUCGAUGGCGACCGGCGCACGGGUGAGUAACACGUAUCCAACCUGCCGAUAACUCGUGGAUACCCGUUCGAAAUACAGAAUAAUACUCGAUAGUAUAGUAUUUCCGCAUGGUUUCACUAUUAAAGACCUUCGGUUGUCGAUGGGGGUGCCUUCCAUUCGUUAGUUGGCGGGGUAACGGCCCACCAAGUCAACGCUGGAUACGGGUUCUGAGAGGAAGGUCCACCGAGAUGGAAACGAGGCACGAUCUAAACUCGUACGGAAGGGAGCAGUGAGGAACAUUAGGCAAGGGACGAGAGUGUGAACCAGCCAAGUAGCGUGAAGGAUGACUGCGCUAUGAGUUGUAAACUUCUUUUAUACGGGAAUAGAGUGGAGUAUGCAUACCGCUUUGUAUGUACCGAAUGAAUAAGGAUCGGCUAACUCCGUG